GAGAGUAUAGCUCAGUGGUAGAGUGCAUGCUCAGAAUGCACAAGGUCCUGGGUUCAAUCCCCAGUACCUCCC
rfam:Camelus ferus unplaced genomic scaffold scaffold659, whole genome shotgun sequence.